GGGUUGUGAGGUUAAGCGACUAAGCGUACACGGUGGAUGCCCUGGCAGUCAGAGGCGAUGAAGGGCGUGCUAAUCUGCGAUAAGCGCCGGUAAGGUGAUAUGAACCGUUAUAACCGGCGAUACCCGAAUGGGGAAACCCAGUGUGACUCGUCACACUAUCAUUAACUGAAUCCAUAGGUUAAUGAGGCGAACCGGGGGAACUGAAACAUCUAAGUACCCCGAGGAAAAGAAAUCAACCGAGAUUCCCCCAGUAGCGGCGAGCGAACGGGGAGGAGCCCAGAGCCUGAAUCAGCAUGUGUGUUAGUGGAAGCGUCUGGAAAGGCGCGCGAUACAGGGUGACAGCCCCGUACACAAAAGCGCAUGUGCUGUGAGCUCGAUGAGUAGGGCGGGACACGUGGUAUCCUGUCUGAAUAUGGGGGGACCAUCCUCCAAGGCUAAAUACUCCUGACUGACCGAUAGUGAACCAGUACCGUGAGGGAAAGGCGAAAAGAACCCCGGCGAGGGGAGUGAAAAAGAACCUGAAACCGUGUACGUACAAGCAGUGGGAGCACAGGUUUACCUGUGUGACUGCGUACCUUUUGUAUAAUGGGUCAGCGACUUAUAUUCUGUAGCAAGGUUAACCGAAUAGGGGAGCCGGAGGGAAACCGAGUCUUAAUUGGGCGUUAAGUUGCAGGGUAUAGACCCGAAACCCGGUGAUCUAGCCAUGGGCAGGUUGAAGGUUGGGUAACACUAACUGGAGGACCGAACCGACUAAUGUUGAAAAAUUAGCGGAUGACCUGUGGCUGGGGGUGAAAGGCCAAUCAAACCGGGAGAUAGCUGGUUCUCCCCGAAAGCUAUUUAGGUAGCGCCUCGUGAAUUCAUCUCCGGGGGUAGAGCACUGUUUCGGCUAGGGGGCCAUCCCGGCUUACCAACCCGAUGCAAACUGCGAAUACCGGAGAAUGUUAUCACGGGAGACACACGGCGGGUGCUAACGUCCGUCGUGAAGAGGGAAACAACCCAGACCGCCAGCUAAGGUCCCAAAGUCAUGGUUAAGUGGGAAACGAUGUGGGAAGGCCCAGACAGCCAGGAUGUUGGCUUAGAAGCAGCCAUCAUUUAAAGAAAGCGUAAUAGCUCACUGGUCGAGUCGGCCUGCGCGGAAGAUGUAACGGGGCUAAACCAUGCACCGAAGCUGCGGCAGCGAACGUAUCACCCAAGACAACUUUACGGAGUUGACGAUUGACGGAGCGAAGCGACGUCAAAGCGUUCAUUAAAGUCGAGUUGGCUUAGGGAUACGUUCGUUGGGUAGGGGAGCGUUCUGUAAGCCUGUGAAGGUGGCCUGUGAGGGUUGCUGGAGGUAUCAGAAGUGCGAAUGCUGACAUAAGUAACGAUAAAGCGGGUGAAAAGCCCGCUCGCCGGAAGACCAAGGGUUCCUGUCCAACGUUAAUCGGGGCAGGGUGAGUCGACCCCUAAGGCGAGGCCGAAAGGCGUAGUCGAUGGGAAACGGGUUAAUAUUCCCGUACUUGGUGUUACUGCGAAGGGGGGACGGAGAAGGCUAUGUUGGCCGGGCGACGGUUGUCCCGGUUUAAGCGUGUAGGCUGGUUUUCCAGGCAAAUCCGGAAAAUCAAGGCUGAGGCGUGACGACGAGGCACUACGGUGCUGAAGCAACAAAUGCCCUGCUUCCAGGAAAAGCCUCUAAGCAUCAGGUAACAUCAAAUCGUACCCCAAACCGACACAGGUGGUCAGGUAGAGAAUACCAAGGCGCUUGAGAGAACUCGGGUGAAGGAACUAGGCAAAAUGGUGCCGUAACUUCGGGAGAAGGCACGCUGACACGUAGGUGAAGUGAUUUACUCAUGGAGCUGAAGUCAGUCGAAGAUACCAGCUGGCUGCAACUGUUUAUUAAAAACACAGCACUGUGCAAACACGAAAGUGGACGUAUACGGUGUGACGCCUGCCCGGUGCCGGAAGGUUAAUUGAUGGGGUCAGCGCAAGCGAAGCUCCUGAUCGAAGCCCCGGUAAACGGCGGCCGUAACUAUAACGGUCCUAAGGUAGCGAAAUUCCUUGUCGGGUAAGUUCCGACCUGCACGAAUGGCGUAAUGAUGGCCAGGCUGUCUCCACCCGAGACUCAGUGAAAUUGAACUCGCUGUGAAGAUGCAGUGUACCCGCGGCAAGACGGAAAGACCCCGUGAACCUUUACUAUAGCUUGACACUGAACAUUGAGCCUUGAUGUGUAGGAUAGGUGGGAGGCUUUGAAGUGUGGACGCCAGUCUGCAUGGAGCCGACCUUGAAAUACCACCCUUUAAUGUUUGAUGUUCUAACGUGGACCCGUAAUCCGGGUUGCGGACAGUGUCUGGUGGGUAGUUUGACUGGGGCGGUCUCCUCCUAAAGAGUAACGGAGGAGCACGAAGGUUGGCUAAUCCUGGUCGGACAUCAGGAGGUUAGUGCAAUGGCAUAAGCCAGCUUGACUGCGAGCGUGACGGCGCGAGCAGGUGCGAAAGCAGGUCAUAGUGAUCCGGUGGUUCUGAAUGGAAGGGCCAUCGCUCAACGGAUAAAAGGUACUCCGGGGAUAACAGGCUGAUACCGCCCAAGAGUUCAUAUCGACGGCGGUGUUUGGCACCUCGAUGUCGGCUCAUCACAUCCUGGGGCUGAAGUAGGUCCCAAGGGUAUGGCUGUUCGCCAUUUAAAGUGGUACGCGAGCUGGGUUUAGAACGUCGUGAGACAGUUCGGUCCCUAUCUGCCGUGGGCGCUGGAGAACUGAGGGGGGCUGCUCCUAGUACGAGAGGACCGGAGUGGACGCAUCACUGGUGUUCGGGUUGUCAUGCCAAUGGCACUGCCCGGUAGCUAAAUGCGGAAGAGAUAAGUGCUGAAAGCAUCUAAGCACGAAACUUGCCCCGAGAUGAGUUCUCCCUGAGACUUUAGGUCUCCUGAAGGAACGUUGAAGACGACGACGUUGAUAGGCCGGGUGUGUAAGCGCAGCGAUGCGUUGAGCUAACCGGUACUAAUGAACCGUGAGGCUUAACCUUACAACGCCGAAG
rnacentral:rRNA from 1 species